rnacentral:rRNA from 1 species
GACGUAGGGCGCGAGCGUUGUCCGGAAUUAUUGGGCGUAAAGAGUUCGUAGGCGGUUUGUCGCGUCCGUUGUGAAAGCUUGGGGCUCAACCCCAAGUCUGCAGUGGAUACGGGCAGACUAGAGUAGGUAGGGGAGAACGGAAUUCCUGGUGUAGCGGUGGAAUGCGCAGAUAUCAGGAGGAACACCGGUGGCGAAGGCGGUUCUCUGGGC